rnacentral:lncRNA from 1 species
GUUAUUCAGGGGUAUUCAAAAUGUGGUCCUGAGAUGACUGAGAAGUGGUUUCUCAGACUGGUGUGAAAGGGUAAUUGUUCCUGGAUGUUUCCCCAGAACCCUUGUCCUUGCAGAUUCAUGAGGAUGAGGACCUGGUUUCCACCCACACUUUUGGACCUGGCAGUCCAGAGUCUGCUGAGGGACAAGAACUUGGUGAUCCGGGCUCUGGAGGAACUUCCCAGGGAGCUCUUCCCACCGCUUUUCAUGGAGGCUUUCACCAGGGGACACACUGAGGUCCUGAAGGCCUUGGUGCCAGCUUGGCCUUUCCCCUGCCUCCCUCUGGGGGUCCUGAUGAAAAUGAGAAACACAGAGAUCGCCCAAACUCAGCUGAACAUUUUCCGGCUGCCAGCAUGGGACCUGCAGUUCUUUCAAGCUGUGCUGGAUGGGCUUGAUGUGCUGCUGGCUCAGAAGGUUCGCCCCAGGAGGUGGAAACUGCAAGUAUUGGAUAUGCGGAACAUGCACCUAAACUUCUGGAGGGUCUGGGCUGGAAACUUGGAGGACCUUGGUUCCCCAGAGGUCACAUGGAGGAGAGAAAUGAAGAAGGAUGGGCCAAAGUUGGCAGAAAAGCAGCCUCUAAGGGUGCUCAUAGACCAGGACCUCUGUCUGGAAUGCCAGGAUCCAUCUUUACACUUUCUCUUCAAGUGGGUCCAGGAGAGGAGGGGUUUGGUGCAACUGGAGUGGAGAAAGCUGUACACUGAUGCAGCUGCUCCCCUAACAACAGUGAAAUUUCUGGAAAUGGUGGUCUUUGGAUGUAUGGAGUAUGUGGAAGGUCAUCGCUUUUGGGUACUCUGUAUUGUUUGUUUUUUUUGUUUCUUUCUUUUGGUUCUUUUUUUUUAAGAACUGAAUUGGCUUUGUUUUCAUUUUUUUAAUCAAAACUUUUCUUGGUACAUUUUAGAUGUCCAUAAUGAUUACAAUCAUGAUUAGAAAUUUGUACCGGUACAUGACAUAUUUUGCUUCUUUUUUCCCAUUCCCACACCCUUCAACCCCUUUCCUGCUCCUUAUUUAAAAAAGCUUUAUUUCCAGUUUUUUCUUCUGUUCUUGUCCCUUCUUUCUUUUCCCUCUCCCCCCUUUCUUGUUCAUCUUUUCAUUUGAACAUUUUCUUCCCAUUUCCCAAUAUGUAUCAUACAUUUUGGUCCUUAUUUCCACUUUCAGUUUUUUACUGCAGAGAAACAAUGCAGUAUUAAACAAGUGUGUCUGCUGGGUGUGGUUUCAUAUGUCUGUAAUCCCAGUACUUGGGAGGCUGAAGCAGGAGGAUUGCCAUGAGCUCAGGGUCAGCCCAGGCUACAUAGUGAGUUCAAGGCCAGUCUGAACUAAUAGUGAGACCCUGUUUCAAAAAAAAAUAAGUAAAUAAGAAUUUAAAAAUAAGCGUAUGUGUCCA